rnacentral:lncRNA from 1 species
AAGUGCGCAGCGGGCGCCACUCGCCAUCCCCGCACCCAUGAGCAAAGAGGCCCAGGCCGAGCCGCCGCCGCGACACCAAACCCAGCACCAGGGGCAGCGCACAGGGAUCGGUGGCCAGGGUGCCUCACAUCGGCUGCGCCUGCCCGCGAGGACAAGAAGGAUGGGGUUUCAUCAGCGGGAAUGACACCAAGGAAGAUGUAUUUUGUACAGCAGACUGCCAUAAAGCAGCAGCAGCUCAGGAAUCACCUUCGCAGCGUGGUCGUGGAGAGCUGUGGAGUUUGGUGUUGAAGGAGCAAAGGGUGCGGAGGCGGCAAAUGCCACGGGCCCUGGUGGCGGUCCAGUACGAGGCAGUACAUGCAGCGACCGCAACCCUUUGAGACGCCAUCCGCACUGCAGGCGCCUCGUGCACUUAGCAGUAGGAUCAACAGAAUAGUGGGCGUGGGUGAAAAACAAGGGAUGGGAGCGCGCCCAAGGGCCAGGCCCAACCACGCGCCGGCUGCAGGCGCAGGGCCCCACCUACCACCUGCGGAGACCCACGGGCACGGACUACCACUCCAGCCCUCCUGCAGGAGCAGGGAUGGGGGUGCCCACAGUCAGGCGCAGGAGAACAGGGUAGACCAGGGAGGCAGGAUGUGCAGCCGGGACUCACACCCCAAUUCUCCUCGCCAGAGACAGCCAGCAGUGGACACCGACCAAGACGAUAAAGAAAAUCAAGGGGCUAAGACCCAAGGUGAGCAGCCGCCUCAACAUCAACUACCGACACAGACACCCAGAAAACUCUAAACCACAAGAUGGCAAAGAGACAAAAGCAAUCCAUCAGCUGAGAAUCCGGCUCCCAAGGCUGAGU